UACGGAGGUGACAAGCGUUGUCCGGAUUUACUGGGCGUAAAGAGCGCGCAGGCGGUCGUUCAAGUCGAGUGUGAAAGCCCCCGGCUCAACUGGGGAGGGUCACUCGAUACUGAUCGACUUGAAGGCAGGAGAGGGAAGCGGAAUUCCCGGUGUAGUGGUGAAAUGCGUAGAUAUCGGGAGGAACACCAGUGGCGAAGGCGGCUUCCUGGCCUGCUCUUGACGCUGAGGCGCGAAAGCUAGGGUAGCAAACGGG
rnacentral:rRNA from 1 species